rnacentral:sRNA from 1 species
AUCCCACGGAAUGUUAAAAUACAUUGCACCAUCCCAUUUGUCUAUUUCUUCAGUCUGUCUCUGCUAAAAGAGCUUUCAGAAAGAAACCGUCAAUAGAAACCUGGGCUUCCUCAGCAGACCAAAGCCUUGAGAAGAACACAAUUCGCUGUUUUGUAUUUGAAUGCGCAUGUGUGUGUCCUUUUAAAACUCUUUCCAUUUGUACAAUGACAGAUUUCAGAUUGGAGUUAAUCUGAGCAUGGAAGACUAUGCCCUGAUGUUUGGAAUUAAUCCCUUCAUUGCCUUGAUGAUUCAACCCAUCGUGACGAUGACUGUGGUUGACAACCAAGGACUGGGGCUUCCUGUUGACAUUCAGCACAAAGCAAAGCCCUCACCAAAAGCCAGCCAGAUGCUGCCACCUGAUCUUGGACCUCCCAGCUUCCAGAACUGCUUCACCUGUAGAACUGCCCCCUCCCUUGUGAUGGUUCUCAGCUGGAAGAGCGGGGUCAGGAGAGAAGCGCCAGUUCAUCCAUCUUACGCUAAGUAUUAAGUCCAUCUGAGAAACUAGAGCCUUGGGACCCAGGGAUGAGGAAACUUACCGUACAGACAUGCAGGCUGACCUUCAUUCACCCUGUGGGCCAUGGCCUCUGCCAUCCAACUGCACAGGCUUCAGCCGAAACUCUCUCCAGCACUGCCCUAAACAGACCAAGUGUGAGGGAGGGAGCAUGUAAUGAAAAGUCCACAGAGAACAAGAAGCCACAAGAUUCGGUGCUCUGAAGCCAUUCUAGAUGGUUUCAGGGGAACUAGCUUCCCACCUCUGACAGGGAUACCAUGGCAAAUACCACUCUUUACCUAGGAUUAUAAUUCUUUGUGCACAACGCAUCCCAUCCCAAAGACAGUCCACAGCAGGACUUGCUCCAUCUCUGAACUGGUCUUACCCCCUUAAACCUGCCUUUAUAUCUAGGAGUUUCUUUAUUUUAUUUUAUUUUUUUGAGACAGAGUCUCGCUCCAUUGCCCAGGCUGGACUGCAGCGGCGUGAUCUCAGCUCACUGCAACCUCCACCUCCUGGGUUCAAGUGAUUCUUGUGCCUCAGCCUCCCAAGUAGCUGGGAUUAAAGGCAUGUGCCACCAUGACUGGCCAAUUUUUAUAUUUUUAGUAGAGAUGAGGUUUCACCAUGUUGGCCAGGCUGGUCUCAAACUCUUGACUUCAAGUGAUCCGCCCGCCUCAGCCUCCCAAAGUGCUGGGAUUACAGGUGUGAGCCACCAGGCCCAGCCUAUAUCUAGGAGUCUCUUGAUGAGCAUUGGUCGACAGAAAGAAGUCUCUUCUAAAAAUUGUUAAUGCUUUUAUAGACUACUCAUAGUCUGAGUCAUAAAACAUCAUUUGCCUUUCAAUUUAUACCUUCCAAGUGAAUGAUGAUUAUUGAGGAUUAUCUAAUUAUUAUCUACUUUUCUCUCUAGGUAUAAAAAACACCAUAGAUCCUAUACACACAAAAAUGGUUUUUCUAUCAGAAAUGGACUCACUCGCCUGGCAAAAGGACACAGAUUAGAUUAUUCUAAUCUCAAGGCCCCUUAGGCUUAUGAAUUCAAAAAAAAAUAGAAGAAAUGAACAAAAACAUAAAUCACAGUUUGUUAUUAAGUAAUAUCUGAAAUGAAUUAGAAAGAAACCAUAAGCCUUAACAAUACUCCAAUCACAGUUAAAUUAAUUUAGACAGAAAAGCAAAUAGCAAUUGACUUGAAAAAUAAGAAGUGGGGCCGAAGGUGGAUACAAGAAAUCCAGGAGGGCUAAGAUAAAUCCCAAAUCCAAUGUUCAUCAAUGCCUACACAUUCAGUACAACCUGAUGGCAUUAAUUCUGUGGUUAGGGAAAUGUGAAAGUGAAAUCGGUAAUACCACAGUUCUAAAUGUGCACUGUUGGCUGAAUUUAUGGUGUGGUGGGGGGUGGCAAAAAUUAGGCUUCUAAGAAAGGAUGGAACUCUGCCCUCCAGGCAAGGAGUAAAUGGCCCCAGCAGAUGGAAAACUAAAGCAAAUGUAAUCACCUGCAAUUUGCAAAUAGGUGUGUUUCUGAGAAUUUGUUUGAAUUAGUUCUUUGUAAAUAAAACAGGAUUUUGAAUGC